rnacentral:sRNA from 2 species
CCCUCCGAGUCGUCAUCAGGGGCAGGAGCGGGGGACCCACCUCCACCGGCCGGCGCCGAUCCGCGGUGUCGACCUAGGGGUGAAGCUCGACGCGUGAAGGUCACGCGAGAGCCGGGCAGCCCAGCCCGAACCCGACAGCUCACUUCGCAGGCGCACGGGAAGGAAUA